rnacentral:rRNA from 1 species
AGCGAACGCUGGCGGCAGGCUUAACACAUGCAAGUCGAGCGGGCGUAGCAAUACGUCAGCGGCAGACGGGUGAGUAACGCGUGGGAACGUACCUUUUGGUUCGGAACAACACAGGGAAACUUGUGCUAAUACCGGAUAAGCCCUUACGGGGAAAGAUUUAUCGCCGAAAGAUCGGCCCGCGUCUGAUUAGCUAGUUGGUGAGGUAACGGCUCACCAAGGCGACGAUCAGUAGCUGGUCUGAGAGGAUGAUCAGCCACAUUGGGACUGAGAUACGGCCCAAACUCCUACGGGAGGCAGCAGUGGGGAAUAUUGGACAAUGGGGGCAACCCUGAUCCAGCCAUGCCGCGUGAGUGAUGAAGGCCCUAGGGUUGUAAAGCUCUUUUGUGCGGGAAGAUAAUGACGGUACCGCAAGAAUAAGCCCCGGCUAACUUCGUG